GUGGAUAUAGCUCAGCUGGUUAGAGCGCAGGAUUGUGGCUCCUGAGGCCGUGGGUUCAAAUCCCAUUAUCCACC
rnacentral:tRNA from 1 species